UAUUCUGUUGAAGAAAACAUGGAUAUGAACUUGAAGACAUCUAUGAACUUGAAUGGUGCAAAGUUGAAAAACCUGUAAGAGAAGCUCUGCUGUUUACGUUGAAGAAUCUGACUUCCACUUUGCAUUUGACUCCAUCUGUAGAAAUACCUUGGUGUUGAGGGAAGAACACAGCUUUUUUUGCAGCUCAGACCUACCCAUUAACAGAAGAUGAUAUUAGUUGGGCAUCUUUCUGCUGUUUCUAGAUGCCUGAGAAAGAAGUAUAUCCCCACCUAGCUACAGCCCCCUUUCAGAUGGUUGUGGAAAGUGGCUUGCAGGAUGGAGGACGGUACAGAAAUCCCAACAAAAGAAGAAGAAUGUCUGAUGAGAAGAGCUGGAUGGAGAAGAAAUAGAGGAGCAAAAUAUGCUGUGUAUUGAAAUGAAGACUGAUUUGAUAUUUUAAACAAGAUCUAGAGCUGAACACCUUUUUCACAUGUUCAGCCUGC